rnacentral:rRNA from 1 species
CCUACGGGUGGCAGCAGUGGGGGAUAUUGCACAAUGGGGGGAACCCUGAUGCAGCGACGCCGCGUGGGUGAAGGAGCGUUUCGGCGCGUAAAGCCCUAUCGGCAGGGGAGAAGAUGACGGUACCUGACCAAGAAGCCCCGGCUAACUACGUGCCAGCAGCCGCGGUAAUACGUAGGGGGCAAGCGUUGUUCGGAAUUACUGGGCGUAAAGGGAGUGUAGGGGGUUUAGUAAGAUAGUGGUGAAAUCCCAGGGCUUAACUUUGGAAUUGCCAUUAUAACUAUUAGACUAGAAUUACAGAGAGGAUAGUGGAAUACCCAGUGUAGAGGUGAAAUUCGUAGAUAUUGGGUAGAACACCAGUGGCGAAGGCGACUAUCUGGCUGUACAUUGACGCUGAGGCUCGAAAGCAUGGGGAUCAAACAGGAUUAGAUACCCGGGUAGUC